rnacentral:lncRNA from 1 species
AUGAGAAGUUCAGAAGUAAUUAGGGAAGUGCUGUUUGAGCUCAUCCAGUUAUUUUCAAUUUCUCUCUUCAGUUCGCACCGCAGCACAAAAGAUCGUCACGUAAAAAAAAAAAAUCGGACUGCUCAGAAAACUCAUUUUCUCUUAAAAAGAAAGGGACGGGGAAAAAAAGAAGCCAUCCGUUAUUUGGGCCGAGUUUGCUCUUUACUGAAGUGCAGUGCCAAACUUGACGUGAUCCCGAGAGGGGCUGCCCCUGCCCGCACCGCGCCUCUGCCUCCCCAGCCCGGGUUUCCUGCUGGCGCCCCAGGGCCACCGCCCAGCUCCGGCUCGUCGUCCAGCGUUCAGGCUCCAUCUGGGUGUGCAAGCAACAAUUACAGUUUUGCCGCGAUUAAAACACCACCAUUGCCACGUUCCUCUCCUGUUCGUGUGUUUUACAAUUACGGAUCUUGAACAGCUGCAGCUCAGACUUCGCUAACCAAAUCCCAUCGCCCAUCAGGUGUUGCAGGGGAGAUUUAAAAAGGGCGAGGGAAGCAUUUGUGUCCUGGAAGCCUAACUACAGUUUUGGGGAUUUCAGCUCUGAAAGGUUACACACAAAGAUUGCUGAUGCAAGUGGUGAAAUGAACACUUAAUGCUAUUAUUACUGUUUUGCUCAGAUACUGUCCCCGAGGUUAAAGAAAAAUUAAAACACCUUAUUUUAUAUGUAGAGUGGUGAUAAGUAGGUCUCUCUUCCAGCCUUGUUAAGUAUACGACCUGGCAAGUGCCACCUAGGAUUUUGAUAUUAAUCUAUUAAAUUCGCCUUUUUUUCUAACAGAGAUUGACUUAUGGACAUCAAUGUUUUUAGCUAAAAGGACUACAUNNNNNNNNNNNNNNNNNNNNNNNNNNNNNNNNNNNNCCCCCCCCCCGUUCUUACUAACUGGAUGGGUUGUGGAUUUGACAGCAGCCGCUGGUCCAUGCCACCGAACUAAAAUAAUUUCACAGUGAAAAACCAGCUUGAGAGGACAAGCAACAGAAGGGCAAAACCCAUCAAAACCCGAAACUGUGAUCAAUCUGACCAGAGUCGGGCAUACAUUAGUUUAAAUUAAACAGUUUUGUCUUUCUCACAAAUCUUUUUUGAACAUUAAAGAUAGAAUCAUGUAAUAUUUAAAUCAACUCUUGUCAGAUGCUAAGUGCAACUGAAGAACCAAAAUAAAAAUUAAUGCGUUUCCCUCCA